rnacentral:lncRNA from 1 species
AUGAAAAGACUCCAGCCGUUCACCAUCGGGACCAAGCUGUCGGUGCCGGUCGACUCCAAAUGUCCGGAAUGUGCGGAUAUCCACCUGUCUUCUCCUCCGGCCGCAGACAGCUGCAAGCAGAAGAACAACCAGCAGCAGCACCGUCUGCCCAAGGACUGCAGCGACCCACAGCCACAGGGUCAGCCCCAACAGGAAGACCCCUUGAUAUCACCUGUCGAGGACUUUCAGGAGGACCAGACCAGCUUGGACUCGCCCUCUUCGCCCUCCAGGUCCAUCAAGAAAAUAGCCAUCUGUGCCAGCGGGGAGAUCCAGGAGGAGAACUGCAGUGCUCUGCAGAGGCAAAGUCAGAGUAGCGUUAAUAACAACGACAAUAACAACACCAACAGCAAAAAUGGCACAACUCCUGUUGAACAGGCUGAUCAGGGGGGAUGUGAGGACAAUGUCUCUCAGAUGAAGAAUGAACCACGGCCCAGGUUGCAAGCACAAGACCCGAAGGGUGCCUGUGUUGUCCAAACAUGUCGGCCUCAGCAUUCGGAUGGCACCGCUCAGACCCAGCAUUCGGACGGCACCGCUCAGACCCAGCAGUGGGAGCUUAAGGACUUUGAGAACUCACUCAUACAGCUCACGGCGAGUCUGGACUUCAAGGAGGAAGAUCCACAGGACAAACACGAGCUUAAUGACAUCAACCUGGAGAAGCUGCCGGAGUCAGAGGGCAUGGAUGAACUUAACAAACCGUGGCUGAGGUUACGGGCCCUUCUGAGGAACUACCAGAAGGACCUCAUGUUGGCUCUCGAUGUGUCCAGCUUUUACCAGCAGGCGGACAACCUCAUCAAGACCAUCAACAGCAAGAGACAAAGUGUAUCACUCCCAAACAAUCAGGGAGGGUGUGUCGAUGCAGAUGUUGGUGAGAUCGCCAAUCAAAUCAGAAUGCUGGCGGAGUCGGCGUCUCGCCUCUCGGACCUCCACCCGACGCUGGCCACCAGGGUGACGCGUAAGCAGGCCGAGGUGAAGCACAGCUGGGCCCGGCUCCAGGACGCCCUCAGGAACCAGAGAACGGGCGAUCUUCAGAUUCUCCCGCAAUGUUCCGCCAACGAGGAGCUGUGCAACCCUGUGGCCACGGAACCCGAGGUGCUUGGAAUUAUGGGAAAAGACAUCAAAGAGGAGCAGAACCGCCUCAAAGGGGUUGAGGUCAGUCGAGGCGGCGGCUCCGAGGAGCCUUUCGAGCUCCUCCUGCCAACUGAUUCAAGUGCUGAGAUUAGACAUGAAGGAGAGCCUCAAGAGCCCAGUGAAGUGAUUAUAGAGGUGUCCGUAGCCAUCUUCACGUAG